AUGCACGCUAGCGGCAGGCCUAACACAUGCAAGUCGAGGGAGAAGCCCUUUCGGGGGCAGAAACCGGCGCACGGGUGCGUAACGCGUAUGCAACCUACCUUUCACAGGGGGAUAGCCCGAAGAAAUUUGGAUUAAUACCCCAUAAUAUUAUUGGAUGGCAUCAUUUGAUAAUUAAAACUGCGGUGGUGAAAGAUGGGCAUGCGUCCUAUUAGCUAGUUGGAGUGGUAACGGCACCCCAAGGCUACGAUAGGUAGGGGUCCUGAGAGGGAGAUCCCCCACACUGGUACUGAGACAGGGACCAGACUCCUACGGGAGGCAGCAGUGAGGAAUAUUGGUCAAUGGUCGGAAGACUGAACCAGCCAUGCCGCGUGCAGGAAGAAUGCCUUAUGGGUGGUAAACUGCUUUUAUAUGGGAAGAAUAAGGCGUACGUGUACGUUGAUGACGGUACCAUAUGAAUAAGCAUCGGCUAACUCCGUG
rnacentral:rRNA from 1 species